rnacentral:rRNA from 1 species
UACGUAGGGGGCUAGCGUUGUCCGGAAUUAUUGGGCGUAAAGAGCUCGUAGGCGGUCUGUUGCGUCGGCUGUGAAAACCCGGGGCUCAACCCCGGGCCUGCAGCCGAUACGGGCAGACUAGAGUUCGGCAGGGGAGACUGGAAUUCCUGGUGUAGCGGUGAAAUGCGCAGAUAUCAGGAGGAACACCGGUGGCGAAGGCGGGUCUCUGGGCCGUAACUGACGCUGAGGAGCGAAAGCGUGGGGAGCGAACAGG